UGAGAUGCCCAAGGGCCAGGAAGGAAGACCUCAAAGUCCAUCAGAACUUCUCCUGAAUAAACAUCAGAAACUCCUACGGAAAACUUUACCCAGGGCCUCUCUGAGAGAAGAGCCACAGCACAAGAGGAAAAUGUUUGGGAUCAGCUCUGUUAUUGAUUUUCAGUAACAUCCCUUUCAUCCUCCUGCCUACAGCAAACUUUUCAAAGUGUUUCUGAAGACCAGGCUUGGCCAAGGCAGCCUUGGAUGUGCUACUGGUGACCUGCUCACUCUUCGUUGCUAAGGUGGAAAUAAGUCAAUGGACUCACUUACUUAGCUGCCAUGUUCUCCCUCUGAAUGCAUGAGGCUUUUUGGAUGAGUAUGUGGCACCCUGAAACUGUGAAGCAGCUGCAUAAGGUGCAUUUGCUUUGGAGAGGAUUAGCUCUUUCCAGUGCUAUCAGGAUUGUCUGAGCCAAUCUUCUGGGUUAACUCCACCUCACUGAGGACCUGACCCUCCUUGUUCCUGGAAUAAGAGAUGGCAUGUCUUUUGCUAGGAUCAGAGGUCCUCAAAAUGGAUCACAUCAUGUGACAGAGUGGGAGAGAAAAAAAAACAAGAAAAAUUCUGCAAUGAAUUUGCAAUCCAGAAAGAGAUACCUGCUCCUGCACUCAUCCCAUCUCAAGCCACCUGUAUUAUAGCUCUCUGCAAAAACACUACUAUCCUCUGGCCUGCAAAGCCAGAUAUCUGGAGAAGAAGCUUUGGGUGGGGAUUGCUGAGUGGAAGAAGGUUACAUUUCUGGAAGGAAGGUCCCAGAUGGAAUAUUCGCUCACCUCUUGAAUGCUUCAUCCUGUUCCUUCAGUCCCAACUUUGAAUGCUAUGUCCAAAGCUUUUGCCAUUUCAGCACUCUUGUCCUGUGACACCAAAGUGAAGUUUCUCUUCCUCAUAAUUUCUACUCAUCUACUCGUUGAGAGGACAAAAGGCAACAGGCAGAAACUGAAACAUAGGAAGUUCCAUCUGAACACGAGGA